rnacentral:rRNA from 1 species
AGAGUUUGAUCCUGGCUCAGAACGAACGCUGGCGGCAUGCCUAACACAUGCAAGUCGAACGGGAUCCGGACUUCGGUUCGGUGAGAGUGGCGGACGGGUGAGUAACGCGUGGGAACCUGCCCAGUGGUGGGGGAUAACUGCGGGAAACUGCAGCUAAUACCGCAUGAGCCCGAGAGGGGAAAGAUUAUCGCCAUUGGAGGGGCCCGCGUUCGAUUAGGUAGUUGGUGAGGUAAUGGCUUACCAAGCCGACGAUCGAUAGCUGGUCUGAGAGGAUGAUCAGCCACACUGGGACUGAGAUACGGCCCAGACUCCUACGGGAGGCAGCAGUGGGGAAUAUUGGACAAUGGGGGCAACCCUGAUCCAGCAAUGCCGCGUGAGUGAUGAAGGCCUUCGGGUUGUAAAGCUCUUUGCCAGGGACGAUGAUGACGUACCUGGAGAAUUAGGCCCGU